UGGGGAAUAUUGGACAAUGGGCGAAAGCCUGAUCCAGCCAUGCCGCGUGUGUGAAGAAGGUAUUCGGAUUGUAAAGCACUUUAAGUUGGGAGGAAGGGCAUUAACCUAAUACGUUAGUGUUUUGACGUUACCGACAGAAUAAGCACCGGCUAACUCUGUGCCAGCAGCCGCGGUAAUACAGAGGGUGCAAGCGUUAAUCGGAAUUACUGGGCGUAAAGCGCGCGUAGGUGGUUUGUUAAGUUGGAUGUUAAAUCCCCGGGCUCAACCUGGUAACUGCAUUCAAAACUGACUGACUAGAGUAUGGUAGAUGGUGGUGGAAUUUCCUGUGUAGCGGUGAAAUGCGUAGAUAUAGGAAGGAACACCAGUGGCGAAGGCGACCACCUGGACUAAUACUGACACCGAGGUGCGAAAGCGUGGGGAGCAAACA
rnacentral:rRNA from 1 species